rnacentral:tRNA from 1 species
GCCCUUUUAACCUAGUAUUAGAGUAAUGCCACGGUAAGGCAUAACUGCAUAAGCCAAAAGCCAUCGAUUCAAAUCCGAUAGAGGGCU